rnacentral:tRNA from 1 species
GCGUCAAUGGUCUAGUGGUUAUGAUUUAUCCUUCCCAAGGUUAAGACCCGGGUUCGAUUCCCGGUUGACGCA